UACGAAGGGGGCUAGCGUUGUUCGGAAUUACUGGGCGUAAAGCGCGCGCAGGCGGUCCUUCAAGUCAGAGGUGAAAGCCCAGAGCUCAACUCUGGAACGGCCUUUGAGACUAGAGGACUUGGGUACGGGAGAGGUGAGUGGAAUUCCGAGUGUAGAGGUGAAAUUCGUAGAUAUUCGGAAGAACACCAGUGGCGAAGGCGGCUCACUGGCCCGUUACCUACGCUCAGGCGCGACAGCGUGGGGAGCAAACAGG
rnacentral:rRNA from 1 species